rnacentral:rRNA from 1 species
UACGAAGGGGGCUAGCGUUGCUCGGAAUUACUGGGCGUAAAGGGCGCGUAGGCGGGUCGUUUAGUUAGAGGUGAAAGCCCAGGGCUCAACCCUGGAAUUGCCCUUUAAUACUGGCGGCCUUGAGUAUGGCAGAGGUGUGUGGAACUCCGAGUGUAGAGGUGAAAUUCGUAGAUAUUCGGAAGAACACCAGUGGCGAAGGCGGCCUGCUGGGCAGUAGCUGACACUGAGGCGCGACAGCGUGGGGAGCAAACAGG